rnacentral:rRNA from 1 species
UGGGGAAUCUUGCGCAAUGGGCGAAAGCCUGACGCAGCCAUGCCGCGUGAAUGAUGAAGGUCUUAGGAUUGUAAAAUUCUUUCACCGGGGACGAUAAUGACGGUACCCGGAGAAGAAGCCCCGGCUAACUUCGUGCCAGCAGCCGCGGUAAUACGAAGGGGGCUAGCGUUGCUCGGAAUUACUGGGCGUAAAGGGAGCGUAGGCGGACAUUUAAGUCAGGGGUGAAAUCCCGGGGCUCAACCUCGGAACUGCCUUUGAUACUGGAAGUCUUGAGUAUGGUAGAGGUGAGUGGAAUUCCGAGUGUAGAGGUGAAAUUCGUAGAUAUUCGGAGGAACACCAGUGGCGAAGGCGGCUCACUGGACCAUUACUGACGCUGAGGUGCGAAAGCGUGGGGAGCAAACAGG